GAAUAACAAAUCACCUAGAAGUACACGUCAUGUACGCUACCUUUCAUCCACAUGUACCACUCUGUCUAUUUAAGAAUCCUACUCAGAGGAGCUCAUAGCUUGGGGUCCAGACAGACUUCAUCAUCCUAUUCUCAGUGCCUACAUGGUGCACAAAUUAGGUGUAGUUUUCAAUAAAAACUUGCUGAAUAAACGGAGAUUUCUCACCUGAUUAGCCCUGGCUGCUUGCAGCUGGGUUUUCUAUUUAGGAACCUUUGGAAAACUUUUUCCCACCUGGGCUGGCUUAAAGAAGCACCCAGAACAACAGAAUCUUAUCACCUCCUUCAUCAGCCUAAAUUGUAGCUCUCUUUUUAUAAUGAGCAACAUAAGGGUAGAGUAAAACCUCUGCGUGUGAACUGAUGAGAAACAAAUAUCUUCCUACAUUCCUCCAGGGGCUACUGUGAGCAGUGCCAGUUGGCAGUCUCGGAGCAAUUUUUAAUGCUCUCUAGAGACGAGAAGAAUCAAGAAAUGAGAAGAGAUUAGGCUUACGGACUUUACAGGAGCAAGAGAAAAGAGCCAUCACUUCAGAUCAGGAGAACAGGAGAGCUUGCAGACAAGGUGACAUUUGAGCUGGGUUAUAUAGAUGAUCCCUCUGAUGAGAUGGAAAAGACGAUUAUGCCAGCAGGCCUGCCUGACAUACUUAUCAAAGAAGAGGAUCAAAGAGAAGAGGAGGAAGGAGGAUAUUAGGUGUAACAACGCCAGAUACCAUCAAGAUUACUAC